rnacentral:rRNA from 1 species
UACGUAGGGGGCAAGCGUUGUCCGGAUUUAUUGGGCGUAAAGAGCGUGUAGGCGGCCAUACAGGUCAGCUGUGAAAACUCGAGGCUCAACCUCGAGACGUCGGUUGAAACCGUAUGGCUAGAGUCCGGAAGAGGAGAGUGGAAUUCCCGGUGUAGCGGUGAAAUGCGCAGAUAUCGGAAAGAAUACCCGUGGCGAAGGCGGCUCUCUGGGACGGUACUGACGCUGAGACGCGAAAGCGUGGGGAGCGAACAGG